rnacentral:rRNA from 1 species
UACGAAGGGAGCUAGCGUUGUUCGGAAUUACUGGGCGUAAAGGGCGCGUAGGCGGUUUGUCGCGUCGGGAGUGGAAACUCAGGGCUUAACCCUGAGCCUGCUUCCGAUACGGGCAGACUAGAGGUAUGCAGGGGAGAACGGAAUUCCUGGUGUAGCGGUGAAAUGCGUAGAGAUCGGCAGGAACACCCAGGGGGAAACCAGUCGACUGGGCAUCUACUGACGCUGAGGUGCGAGAGCGUGGGGAGCGAACCGG